CAGCAGGUAGAAUCCAAGCGUAUUGAUGCAUCUCUCUGACCCCAUUACUGAGGAGGUACUGAAAGCGCUGCCUCCCUGCCCACUGCCAUGUUGGAUCUCUCAAGUCUAGGCUUUAGAUAUUCACUGUCCAAGCCACUGUCACAUAUAUAUUCUUUAGUCUUUUAAAUGUAAAUAAUACAAUCUAUCUAGUAAUAAAAGACAGAUAUAUUGUAGAUGACACCUAUUGCUCCUCUCAUAAUAUGUCUAGUUUCUCUACAUCUCAUCUGAGAUCCCCAUCUCACUUGCACUGAGAAACUAAUGUGACUCCAUUUUUGAGAAACAAGCCUCUACCUCAGAGCAAAGCCUGUCCAAGGAAGGGGGCAUGACCCUUGUCCUUGGAAAAACCCACAGAGCACUCCUAAGCACAUACCCUCCCUGCUGAGUUGUUUGUAAAUAACAGGAGAGGUCUGCAGUGCCAGGUGUCCCUGACUCAGUUAGGCUAGGUGAGGACCCAUAGCAACUCCCCUAGCAACCUCCAAUCAGCAUGAGACAGGGAAAAUACCUGGAAUGCAAGAUGAUCUCCAAGUAGUUUAUGGUGGUUGAUAACAUGUUGGGAAACCAUGUAGUUUAGCACGUACACCCCUCAUGGCCUAAACCAAUCAGUUCAAAGGAAUCCCCCUCUUGUGUUAACCAAUCACCCUACCCAACUUGUUUCUGCCAUUGAAUGUGCUAAUCAAUGUUAAGAGUUGUUGUUUGAUUUUCCCAUGGUAUGGAAUGAUUUCCUGUGUGAUUUUGUGACAUAUAGAGUAUCCCCCCAAAACAUAAAAUCUCACUGAACAAAGGACCAGGACUCACUCCCUGGGACCCUGCGUCAGGAACGGUUGUGAGUCCAGGCUCGAGCUUGCAAUAAAGACUCUUGUGUGAUUGCAUCGG
rnacentral:lncRNA from 1 species